GUAUUAAAAUGUGGAGAUUUUAGUAUCGAAAUUAACCUCAACCACACUAACUCCUUGGAAGCGUGAUCUUUGUUGCCAGACAUACUCCGCCAGAAUAACACUACACGGCCACACGAACAAUCCAUAAUCUUCUUUCAUGCUCUGGGAAUUAAUGGAAGUACCUCGAUGACGGUGAUGGAGAUGGCGUCAUCGGAGCCGUUUGAGUCUCCGAAAUAGUGAUGAGAUAUGGUGGUCAUGUUUUCUGUUGCCGGAAUUUCCGGUGAGCCGCCGCCGUCGCUGUUGUUGGCUUCCAUGGAGCCGCCGCGCUGAGAAUGGCCCGGUGGUCGGCGGUGAAUUUUACUUUUCGUGUGAAGGUUAUUUUGAUAAUUUCAUGUUAACAUUUUAGAUUUACACUAUGUUCCCGAGUUUCAUUUAACAAGGGAAGAGAAAGGAAUUAAAAGGAAAAGAGUAAAAAAUGUGUUCCAGAGAUUUUUUAGAAAGGGAAGUGGUGAGAAAAGAAAGGAAACAAGGGGAUGAUUGAUGCAAAUAUUCAUCCUCCCAAUUUGGAGAGAUUUGGUGAGAAAAGAUUAUUAUAAAUCUUAGACUUUUUUAAAUUUCCUAAAUUACCCUCUAAUUCAUUAUAAAUAAACUUUCUUUUCUUUUCCUCCCAACUCGGGAACACAUAAAAUGUUUAAUUUCCUUUCAUUUCCUUUUCUUUUCAUUAAACUCGGGAACACGAAUAUAAUCACAUCUUUUCCUUUCCAUUCCCUUAUAAUUUCUCUUCCUUUCUCUUCUAUCGUUAGAGUAAAUUGUCCAAAUUAGUUCAUGAGGUUUUUUCUAAAUUUACCAAUUUUAGUAUAAAUAUAAAUUAUUUUUUUUUAUACUGGGCCUGACUUUUCUUUUUUAUUGUCAUUUUGAUUAUAUACCCUAACUUUAUUCAUAAACCUAUUUUUAAUCAGGGUGUUUUGAGGAUUUUCAAUUUAAAUAUUUCCAGAUGCUCGAUUUUAUGGUGUAUUUUUUUAAAAUAAUGUCAUAUAAAAAGAAAGGUUAUGGAUGUUUAAAAAAUGAGGGGAUGGGGGAGGAUUAUACAUAGUGAAGAAAGAAAGUCAACAAAUAAGUUUUUCCAAGAAUGCAUUUGCACUCCUUUUUUUUCUACUUUAACUUUAUUUUUAUUUUUAUCGUAUUUAUACAAAAUUAACUUUUUUCAUUGAUCGUACCCCUAGAUAUGGUAUACCAGUCAUAAUAUACACGACUUGUAUCAUGUCAAAAUAUCUAUCAAUAAUGGUUUAUAAUUAUCCGGUGGUUUGUUAAAUCGUGUCAAAAGUGGAUUUAAAAAAUAGCUUUAUUUCCUGACAAAAAUAAUUUGUUAACAAGGGAGAUGAUCAAACAGUGAGUUUACUUUGUAUAGGAAGUGUAGAAAACAAUAAUAGGAGGAAAUGUGACAAAUAACAAAAAAACAUGGGGAUGAACGUUUUAGUCAAUCUCAUCUCAUCUUCUAUUUUUCUCUUUCCCCGUAUCCUCGAAACCCACCAUUUUCAAAGCCCAUUAUCUUCAACAUUUUUUCAGUUUCUCUCUCUAUAAUCAAUACAUAAUUUUGCGAUUUUCUUCGUCAAUCAAUGAUUUAAACACUCAAAUAACGCGUUCUUCAACUUUUUUGAAUAAACCCAGUUUUUUUCUAGUAAUUUUGAAGCAAAUCACUCGAUUUGUUCUAUUCGAUCGUUGAUCAGUGUUUCUAGCAUUCAAAUUUCGUCAAUCAUUGAAGAAAUCAUAAGAAAUCGGAUUUGAUCUCUGUAAGAAAUCUGAAGAAUUUCAUCAAUCAUUGCGUUUUACAAUCCGGGUUUUCAAAUCAUAUUUUAGAGAAAGACAUUUUUUUUGUCUUUAGUCAAUUGCGUUUUAGAAAAAAAACACAUAUUUUUGUGUUUUUAGUUUAUUGCGUUUUAGAAAAAUACAUUUUUGUGUUUUUUUUUUGUCCAUUGCGUUUUAGAAAGAAAAAAAAACCAUUCUUUUGUGUGUAUAGAGUACAUUGCGUUUUAGAAAAAAAACACAUUUUUUGUGUUUUUAGUGUAUUGCGUUUUAGAAAAAAAAAAAACACAUUCUUUUGUGUUUUUUAUCCAUUGCGUUUUAGAAAAAAAAUACCAUUUUUGUGUUUUUAGUCCAUUGCGUUUUACGAAUCUGAGUUUUCGAUUUUUUUUUAAAUAUAGCAAAAGUAUACUCAUUUCAAAGGUAAAAAAAUGCUCGUUUUUAUGGUGCAAUUUUUAUAAAAGAGUAAAUUACAAGUUUUGUCCUUUAUGUUUGUACCAAAUUACAGGCGGUGUCCUUUACCUUUAAAUUUGACGAGUUUUGUCCUUGAUGUUUUAAAAUCCUACACGUUAUGUCCUUUAGCCCUAACCUAGUUAGAUUUUUUGGUUAAAUAUGGUCAUGUGCCUUGCACAUGAGGGUAUUUUUGUCAUUUUACCUCUCCAGGGGCUAUUGAGUAAACAACUUAUAUCAAGGGACUA
rnacentral:lncRNA from 1 species